rnacentral:tRNA from 1 species
GCCGAAAUAGCUCAGUUGGGAGAGCGCCAGACUGAAGAUCUGGAGGGCCUUGAUUCAAUCCAGAGUUUUCCCC